AUUGAACGCUGGCGGCAGGCCUAACACAUGCAAGUCGAACGAGUGGCGGACGGGUGAGUAAUGUAUGGGAAACUGCCUGAUGGAGGGGGAUAAAUACUGGAAACGGUAGCUAAUACCGCAUACCAUCAGAUGUGCCCAUAUGGGAUUAGCUAGUAGGUGGGGUAAAGGCUCACCUAGGCGAUGAUCCCUAGCUGGUCUGAGAGGAUGAACAGCCACACUGGCACUGAGACACGGCCCAGACUCCUACGGGAGGCAGCAGUGGGGAAUAUUGCACAAUGGGCGCAAGCCUGAUGCAGCCAUGCCGCGUGUAUGAAGAAGGCCUUCGGGUUGUAAAGUACUUUCAGUGGGGAGGCGUUACCCGCAGAAGAAGCACCGGCUAACUCCGUGCCAGCAGCCGCGGUAAUUC
rnacentral:rRNA from 1 species